AGUGAACGCUGGCGGUAGGCCUAACACAUGCAAGUCGAACGGCAGCACAGUAAGAGCUUGCUCUUACGGGUGGCGAGUGGCGGACGGGUGAGGAAUACAUCGGAAUCUACUUUUUCGUGGGGGAUAACGUAGGGAAACUUACGCUAAUACCGCAUACGACCUACGGGUGAAAGCAGGGGAUCUUCGGACCUUGCGCGAUUGAAUGAGCCGAUGUCGGAUUAGCUAGUUGGCGGGGUAAAGGCCCACCAAGGCGACGAUCCGUAGCUGGUCUGAGAGGAUGAUCAGCCACACUGGAACUGAGACACGGUCCAGACUCCUACGGGAGGCAGCAGUGGGGAAUAUUGGACAAUGGGCGCAAGCCUGAUCCAGCCAUACCGCGUGGGUGAAGAAGGCCUUCGGGUUGUAAAGCCCUUUUAUUGGGGAAGAAAAGCAGAAAGUUAAUACCCCGCUGUUUUGACGUUACCCGAAGAAUAAGCACCGGCUAACUUCGUG
rnacentral:rRNA from 1 species